UCAGCCAUAUUAUAAACCCUACAUUUAAAAAAUUAAUUUAAUGUUCCUUGAACAGAACACUUGUAUUCUUCAAGACGCUGUGCAUCGUGAAUUGACUUAAUAAUAAGUUAUCAUUAUUUUAUAAAAUAGUAAUCAUUGUCAUUUUUUCCUCAGCUGAUUAAAAUGAAGUUCGCAGUUCUCCUUCUCGUGGUCCUGGUGUGUCUGUUAAAUCUCAUCGUUGAAUCUGAAAGUUGUUGUCAAAAUCAUGGUGAAAGCUGUGGUCAUGGCACCCAUUGCUGCACUUUUCUUACGUGUAACCACAAGAGCACAGGGGGUACUUGUGGUUACCGUUUAGAAGAAGCGAAGCGGUAAAGUUCAUAAACCAAGCACACCGGCUGAGGCAGUCGCUAGUGAGAGGUUUUUAAAAGAAUAAAAGAGACUUCCAAAAAAAAAUAUUGAUCAUUGA